UCCCUCCGGCGCGCCACCACCUCCCACCCCCGCGUCGCCCAACCAACCCACCCCUCCGACGCGUCGGCCGGCGUCGGAUCCGCGCGUCGCCGUUCCUGCCAACCACCGGGUCGAGGGGGUGCUGGAUCUGCCCCAUCGCCGUCCUCCCGCGUCUUCCCGACGACGGAUGCGCCUAGCGGGGCCGGUGAGCUCGGGGGUCGCCGGUGGCUCUCUCCUCCCCGUUCCUUUACCUCCUCCCUCCCAUCCCGCUGCAUCCAGCCCGGGCUUCUUCCUCUCCGACCCCGACCACGGCCCAAAGUCCCUGAUCCCGCCUCUGCUCCCCUCCCCCGCUCAACCACAGCCCCCCUCGUCUUCUCCGGUUGCCGUGGAAGACGAGCUGAAAGUCGGGGCCUAGCAGGCGACCACGAUGUGCCGGAGCUCACCCCCGUGAACAGGCCCCAGAGAGGUAGGGAGAAGAGCUUCGACGCGUGAGGUCGCUGGCGCCCCCUUCUCAAAGUGCAGUAUGUCAUGGUCGCGCGUGCAGUUCGCCUCUGCACUGAUGCACUUGCUCCCCGACGCAGGUCGUCUCGUUCAUCUAUGCAGUCCGCCGACACACAAUUUUGUUUGUGCGGCCAAGAGGUCCUGGGAGGGCCGCCCCCAGCACAAGCAACCAAAAAUAUGGGGAGAGGGAGGCGCUUCCGCUUGGACGUUGGCGACCUCUAGCUUGCGGGGAAGCUCCGGCUAGCGCGGACAACAUGGCUCCUAUGGAGAUGUCGAAUGCCAUGGCUCCACUCGGCCGGAGUUUGCUGCAGCCCACAUCUUCAGCGGGGGCAGCUCACGGCCCACCGGCGUGCAGUUUCGACAGCGGUUGCUUGCAUAUUGUUUCUGCUAUUUUAUUUUCCAGAGAUCCCAUUUGUUGUCUGGACCCCUUUUCAUCUUGGUGCAGUUAGCUUCGCUGGUGGUGUGCAGUGUCGACCAACAGCUCCCUCACCUCCCCACUCGUCCUCUUUUGCAUGGAUCCAGUGGUUGCCCACCUCCCCAGCGAGCCCUGCUUCCUCGCGACAAGCUCCGGUGUCAUCCCGUCCGUGCUCCUGCCCCCCUCCCCCUCCCUUUCCAUCGAGCUGGGCAGCGCUUUCCGCAUUCAUGUGGGAUCCGGCGAGUUCCGUAUCACUUGCAGCUCUCUUCGCCAAUCCGUGCAGUUGGCAGGUUUCGCCUGAUGGAGUUCCUGCCGCCGAGUCAGCCAAGGCGACCGUCCCUGCACGUGCCUCUACCUCGCACCGUCGCGGCCGUCCCCCGCCUUUCACUACUUCGGCGAUGACGCGGACCUGUUGGUCAUGCUGCGGUUCACUCAUGACGAGAGGACAACAACGCCAGCAUGGGGUCUGCACUGCAUGGGUGUGGCCGGAGGGGGAAUGGACGUGCUAUCCAUGGCGUGUUGUAGUACAUUAUUUCAGAAUUUGAUGUGCCUUUUUCAGUGCAGUGCAGUGCACUUCAGGUGCAGCUCACUGAUUUUCUGGUGUGCAGUUACUCAAGGUUGUCCGCAUCAGCUGAGGUGGGGCCUCCGACGAGAAGCUCCCAUGGUGGAUCUGAAUUAUGGUGUGUCGUGUGCAGUUGCUGGUUACCUGUAGCGCGAUUCAGUAGUGAGAGCGUUGCAAACUUGCAUUACUGUAUCCCUUUAGGAAAAGAGUUUCUGCAGUUAGUCGGUUCCUGUAUGUGCAGACUUUUGCAUCAUUUGUUGUCUCAUGCAGUGCGUGCAGGGGUCAUAGAGCAGUUCGGUCGUGAAAACUUUGUGCAUAAAAUAUGCAUAUACAAAAAAUGUUGGCUGCAAAAAUAUUAAAAUCUGUUCAUUUUUUAUA